rnacentral:ncRNA from 1 species
CCACUCUGGAAAGUGGGACGACUAUCGCCCCCGCCGACGGUGAAAGCGCCCCAGGGCGUGAAACUCUCAGGCCAAUGACAGAGGGGGA